GACGAACGCUGGCGGCGUGCCUAAUACAUGCAAGUAGAACGCUGAAGGAGGAGCUUGCUUCUCCGGAUGAGUUGCGAACGGGUGAGUAACGCGUAGGUAACCUGCCUGGUAGCGGGGGAUAACUAUUGGAAACGAUAGCUAAUACCGCAUAACAGUAGAUGUUGCAUGACAUUUGCUUAAAAGGUGCAAUUGCAUCACUACCAGAUGGACCUGCGUUGUAUUAGCUAGUUGGUGAGGUAACGGCUCACCAAGGCGACGAUACAUAGCCGACCUGAGAGGGGGAUCGGCCACACUGGGACUGAGACACGGCCCAGACUCCUACGAGAGGCAGCAGUAGGGAAUCUUCGGCAAUGGACGGAAGUCUGACCGAGCAACGCCGCGUGAGUGAAGAAGGUUUUCGGAUCGUAAAGCUCUGUUGUAAGAGAAGAACGAGUGUGAGAGUGGAAAGUUCACACUGUGACGGUAUCUUACCAGAAAGGGACGGCUAACUACGUG
rnacentral:rRNA from 1 species